UCCAUAGCCAUGCCCCCGAGCGGUCCCUCCCCCGGGGGUCCCGGGGCCAGCGCUGCGGCCGCCUCUCGUCCCGGCCCUUCUCCGCGGCGCUUCGUUGUGCUCGGAACCGGUGCUUCCUCCCAGGAGAAAAACCAAACAAAACGAGUCCCGACGGCCAGCCCGGGGCGACUUUGGUGCCGCUGCCAGCCCCCAGCAGCAGAGCAGAUAUUUGUGGCUCUUCUUCCACUCUCCAGGGCUCAGGCAAGGAAUCGUGGGUCCAGUCCUGAUCUGACAUGGACCAGUGCUGUCUCAGUUAACUGACUCGGUUUCCACGCUGCCAAAUGAGGAUAAUGGGAAUAUUGGUGCUGGCUGAAGGACAGAGAGCAAGUGAAAAAGGGUGAAGGGUGCCUUUCUCCAGACACAGAUCUUCAGGGAGGAAAGCAAAUGAAAGGCACAGCUGGGACUAUUCAUUCACCUUGUGAGAGCCAAGGGAGAAAGAAUGGAAAAUUCGUAUUUCUCCUGAAGAACACGUUUAAAUCAAGCAAGUAUCUGAAUGGAGGUGGCUCAUUUCAGCCAGAGGAUCUGACUUUUCCACUUGCUGGGGAGGGCAGCAGGACGGAUAUCCAAGAAGGGAGUUGCUAAAGAUCACUCCAGACUGCACAAAGAAAGUUACCCACUUGGGGGAGAUGGAAACCUUCAGCUUUGCCAACAUUAGCUGAAAUCCCACAGUGAGCAGCCCAAGGCACGCUCCAGCCUCAGAGCCUGCAGUGGCCCCUAGGGGAUGCUUCGAUGACACAAAACCUGCUGAUGGUGCUCUUAGGAUGGCCCCGAAUUACCCCAUCACUUACCAACAACCAAAUGUUCAGGCAGCACCAAGAAGAGCCACGUAAGGAGCUCAGAACUUUUGCAUGAGGUGAUGAGAGCUCUGGAUUGUGUGAGAAAUCCUCCCCUCCUGGGACACUUCCCUCAUGGGCUGCCACUCUCAGGGGAGGAACCUCUGAUGGAAGAGAGCAAACAGCAGACCUGGAGGGCUCACUGUGUGGCUUGUGACCACAGCACACAUCCAGGAGUGGGGCCAGCAUGCUGCUCAGGAGCAGCAGCCACGCAAAAACCAGCCCAGGACACCAGGCCAUCGCUGGGGUCAAA